AUUGAACGCUGGCGGCAUGCCUUACACAUGCAAGUCGAACGGCAGCACGGGUGCUUGCACCUGGUGGCGAGUGGCGAACGGGUGAGUAAUACAUCGGAACAUGUCCUGUAGUGGGGGCUAGCCCGGCGAAAGCCGGAUUAAUACCGCAUACGAACCACGGAUGAAAGCGGGGGACCUUCGGGCCUCGCGCUAUAGGGUUGGCCGAUGGCUGAUUAGCUAGUUGGUGGGGUAAAGGCCUACCAAGGCGACGAUCAGUAGCUGGUCUGAGAGGACGACAAGCCACACUGUGACUGAGACACGGCCCAGACUCCUACGGGAGGCAGCAGUGGGGAAUUUUGGACAAUGGGCGAAAGCCUGAUCCAGCAAUGCCGCGUGUGUGAAGAAGGCCUUCGGGUUGUAAAGCACUUUUGUCCGGAAAGAAAUCCUGGACUCUAAUACAGUCGGGUGAUGACGGUACCGGAAGAAUAAGCACCGGCUAACUACGUG
rnacentral:rRNA from 1 species